rnacentral:rRNA from 1 species
UACGUAGGUGGCAAGCAUUAUCCGGAAUUACUGGGCGUAAAGAGUUGCGCGGGUGGAAAAUCGCGUCGCAUCUUAAAAGGUGAGGCUCAACCUUACCCUUGGAUACGAUACGGGUUUUCUUGAGUGGACUAGGGGCAAGCGGAACUUUCGGUGGAGCAGUGAAAUGCGUUGAUAUCGAAAGGAACACCAAAGGCGUAGGCAGCUUGCUGGGGUUCUACUGACACUUAGGCACGAAAGCAUGGGGAGCGAACCGG